UACGUAGGGUGCAAGCGUUAAUCGGAAUUACUGGGCGUAAAGCGUGCGCAGGCGGUUGUGCAAGACAGAUGUGAAAUCCCCGGGCUCAACCUGGGAACUGCAUUUGUGACUGCACGGCUAGAGUGUGUCAGAGGGGGGUAGAAUUCCACGUGUAGCAGUGAAAUGCGUAGAUAUGUGGAGGAAUACCAAUGGCGAAGGCAGCCCCCUGGGAUAACACUGACGCUCAUGCACGAAAGCGUGGGGAGCAAACAGG
rnacentral:rRNA from 1 species